rnacentral:sRNA from 1 species
UUCAAACUCAGCCCUCAGGGCUACCGCUUCCAGAAGUUAAGCCGAGUGUUGAAUCAGUACACAGAUACAAUAAUCCAGGAAAGAAAGAAAUCCCUCCAGGCUGGGGUAAAGCAGGAUAACACUCAGAAGAGGAACUACCAGGAUUUUCUGGAUAUUGUCCUUUCUGCCAAGGAUGAAAGUGGUAGCAGCUUCUCAGAUAUUGAUGUACACUCUGAAGUGAGCACGUUCUUGUUGGCAGGACAUGACACCUUGGCAGCAAGCAUCUCCUGGAUCCUUUACUGCCUGGCUCUGAACCCUGAGCAUCAAGAGAGAUGCCGGGAGGAGGUCAGGGGCAUCCUGGGGGAUGGGUCUUCUAUCACUUGGUAAGAUCUGCACCCCUAAAUUUUCCUCCUAGUUUUCCCCCUGAGAUUUUGCUUUAUUUUUUGCACUGGUACCUUAGUGACUCUAGUGCCUCAGGAUAUGUGUAGGUGAAACAGAAGAAGUAGGCUACUUUUCUGUUCUUUCUAAAGAGAGCUCCAAAUUGUUCUCUUGUCUUUCGGGAAAAAAAAA